CAUGACCUUAGUAUCGCUUGCAUUUUCGAUCUUAAUGGGAUUAACCUCAUCUCCAUUGGAUGAGGAUGGAACAAGACUGCUUUCCCCAUCACCUUUUCUCGAUUGCUCUGUUGCACCUAUCCCUGCUAUUCCUAUAACAGGCUCAGGCUUCACAUUAGUUAAUACCUCUGCCACCGCCGUUAGCUUUCUCCCGGACACUGUUUCAGGCAGGGCCGACGGCUUAGUCGGGUGCGAUGUGUCUGACUCCGAGCUGCCACAACCUCCUUCAUCACCUGGAUCCGUAGCAGAAGUCUUCUUCUUCCUUCUACCUCCACGAGUCUUCUUUUUUUUCGUUGGCCCUUCAGAUGCAAUGCUAGCGUGGGCUAUGCCGUCAUUCAGAUUUCCACCCCU
rnacentral:sRNA from 2 species